rnacentral:rRNA from 1 species
UACCAGCACCCCGAGUGGUCGGGACGAUUAUUGGGCCUAAAGCCUCCGUAGCCGGUUCUACAAGUCUUCCGUUAAAUCCACCUGCUUAACAGAUGGGCUGCGGAGGAUACUAUGGAGCUAGGAGGCGGGAGAGGCAAGCGGUACUUAGUGGGUAGGGGUAAAAUCCGUUGAUCCAUUGAAGACCACCAGUGGCGAAGGCGGCUUGCCAGAAUGCGCUCGACGGUGAGGGAUGAAAGCUGGGGGAGCAAACCGG